rnacentral:rRNA from 1 species
UUUGCCUACGGGGCGCAGCAGUGGGGAAUAUUGCACAAUGGAGGGAACUCUGAUGCAGCGACGCCGCGUGAGUGAAGAAGUAAUUCGUUAUGUAAAGAUCUUUAAUCGGGGACGAAUUUUGACGGUACCCGAAGAAUAAGCUCCGGCUAACUACGUGCCAGCAGCCGCGGUAAUACGUAGGGAGCAAGCGUUAUCCGGAUUUACUGGGUGUAAAGGGCGUGUAGGCGGGCAUGCAAGCCAGAAGUGAAAUCUGGGGGCUUAACCCCCAAACUGCUUUUGGAACUGCGUGUCUUGUGUGAUGGAGG